UGGGGGAUAUUGCACAAUGGGGGGAACCCUGAUGCAGCGACGCCGCGUGGGUGAAGAAGCGCCUCGGCGCGUAAAGCCCUGUCAGCAGGGAAGAAAAUGACGGUACCUGAAGAAGAAGCCCCGGNUAACUACGUGCCAGCAGCCG
rnacentral:rRNA from 1 species